GCUGACGAGAUCUUCACGUGUUAAGUAACAAUAUGUAUUAACUUUGUGUACAAAAAAUUGAUAACAUGCUAAAAGAAAUUUCUAAUAAACAAAGUUUUCUUGAACAAAUGGUAAUACAAUUAAAAAUUGGUCUCAAGAUGUUUUGAUCUAAUUGAAAAGAACCAGAAAACAUUAUGAGCCUAACUACUAACAAAUGGAUAAGGGGGGAGGGUGUUCCAAUCUGUCUUUAUUAGAUAAUGUUAACCACCAAGAUUAAAGACUGACUAACAUAUUUUUUUAAUGUAAG